CUUAUGAAUUAGAAAUGUAUAGAUGUGUAUUACAAACAAAAGUAUCUCAACAACCAAAUAUAGAAAUAUUUUGGACAUGUAUAAUAACUACAAUAAUGAAUUUUAUCAUCAAACUAAUUUAAGUGGACUCUCGUGUUACAUUCUGAAAUAGUAUAGCAAAACUUCGUCACAUAAAACAUCAACAUAGAAAUGUAGGAACAAUAAAUAGGAAUAUUUAAUACUAAAAAAUUUUAGGAUACUAAAAAUUAAAAUACAUAUUUUUAUUUUUAAAAUGAAAGCAAAUAAAAAUUUUAAAAAUUAAAUAGGCUAUACUACGUUUUGGAACUUGGAAUUUUAUACGAAUAAAGGAUGAUAAACUAACAAUAAAAAAAUUAUAUAAUAUCGAUUUCAGUUGAGAUUGGACACUCGACCUUUUGCAACUGGGUGACUCAAUUAUCAUGUAAUAUAAUUUAGUAGCAUAUAAAAGUUAUAUACAGUGAAAAUAAUUUUUUUUCUGUUAUUUUCUGCUUGCGUAAAAUUAUUAUAUUAUUUUUAUACUAUUAUGUCAAAGUGAUAGGGCCAUUGAUAAGGCCAGGCAUUUUCAGGUGGGGCCAUGGCCCUACCUGGCUCGUCCAUGGCGCUGACACUGCUUCUAACCUUUAUAAAAUAACUAUCAAUAUUAUAAUUAUACAUGAUUAUUACCCAUAUAGCUGCUAAAUAACAAUACAGUUAAUAUUAGUUGUACCUAUAUAUUGUAAGAGGAAUUUUAAAAUUAAAAUAAAAUUUUGAAAGUAUUGAUAUCCAGUGAAAAAAACCCAUAGGUAAUAGUUGUACUCAGAGCCGAAAAAAAGAGGGAGGGAUAAUAGGGAUAUAGCCCAGGGCCCCUCAAAAGAAGCCUCCAGACAAAUUUUGGAAUUGUAAUUUUUCGACCAUUGUCCUUUAAUAAUAAUACGUUAUUACUCAAAUAAUUGCAAUUUUAAAAAGAUCUAACACUGCUAACAGUUUUGUUGUGUGUGAGAACUUCAAAAGUUAGGAUAAGUAGGUAGGACAGUCAUUCAUAAUUUACAGCUGUAUGAAACGAUACAUCUUACCUUACGAAAUACGAUUUUGAACAAUGUUUGGUUAAAUAUGUUGUAUAGUUGUUUAAUUUUUAUGAUUU